UUCCGAGUAGUUUUGUCAAAUGGACCAAAUACUGAUGCUGUUUAUGAGCCUUGAGAUAAAAAAACUCUGACUUCAUAGCAACUCUUAAUUAUGUGAAUGCACACCAAGAAUAGGAUAAAUAUAAAAUCUAUGGAUAACCAUGGAAAACAAGUUUAAGUUGGCAUCCUGCUUCAGCCCUGCUAAAUCAUUUACCAGAGUAAACCUGGCUUGAAAACACUUUCAAUUCCCCAACUGCUGUCAAGUGGGAGAGCAAACGAACAGAGAAAUGAUGGGAUGGGAGUCGGAGAAAGGCCUGACAAAUAUGUAGUCAGAGGUGCCACUUCCAUUCCUGUGCCUCUAGCAGACAUGACUAAUCAAGCAUGAUACUCUUUUCCAUCUUCAAUAAGCACAACCUUAGACUCUUUCUCAGCACUCAAGUAGUCCAGGCAAUCAUUACCAAUCAAUAACAGCUGGCCCAUUUGCCGUUCCAGUUUAGGAGAAAUCUGGAUGAUCCACCAGUUAUAUCAUCAGUUAACUUUUAAUUUCAACAAGAAUUAAACAUUGGUUGAUUGGUCUUUCAUUUAACUACUUUAUUUUCCUCUAAGAACUAGAAUAGUUUAUGGAAAUUGUCAUGAAAAGCUAAAACACAUUGCUUCUAAGUUCUCUAAGAUGGACAGAUAAGCAUGCUGUCUCAGCACACAGCACAAGAUUGUCUUGUGAGUCGGGAGCAAAGAAUCAGAUGAGGGUUUAGCCUAACAGGGAGUGAAGACAUGACUGCAGCUAGAAGUUAAGGGCUGCUGGGGACUGGGUACUUGGAGGCCUCACUUGGGGGAAUAUGGGCAAAGCCAGGAACCGCACAGAGACCACAGGAAUCCACUCCUACUACCUAAGAGACGUCGUUCAUGUACAGAAAUUCCUUUGAGUUAAAGUUUCCCCUGUUGAAAUCACCUCUGAGUGAAUGAGGAAACUAUCUUUCAGUCACACCUUAGUGGAGAAUGUUUACUUAGGUUGUUUUUUCUUGACUCCUAAAAAAAGAGCAGCAGCAAGAGGAAGUUGGGUGUUUCGAAUGGAGACAAAGAAAGAAAACAAAUGUGAUUUGAGGCCUCCUAAGAAGGACUGUCUUGAAUCCAGUGCUGGGCUUGAGACACGUUGAGAAUCACUUAUUGAGCUACUACUGUAUGGCAAGAACUUUUCAUACAUUAUAUUGCUUCCUCCUCACCCCUAAGAGUGAGUUACAAUUAACAUCUUCCAUUUACAGAUGAGAAAACCAAGGCUCAGUAAUGUAAGUAAUCUGCCUGAUGUUACAAAGCUAGUGAGGGGCUGAGGCCCCAUCCAGACCAAGAUUUCUCUGACUCCAAAGCUUGUUUCUGUCCCCGUUACACUGAGCUGGCUCUUCUGGGGAAGCAUCACAGACACACUUGGUACACUCAGAAAUAAAUGUUCCUUAAGGCCACUGCCUGUCUGACUCUGCCACCUCCUUCCAGAGAUUAGGAAGGAAGCAAAUUGUCCUCAUGCAAAGCAGGCCUUAAGAGAGAAGGAUCAUCCCCACCUGUUGGAACAUCUUGUCUUAGAGAGAUUAGGGGGCUGCAGACUGGAAUGGCAUGUGUCAUCCUCCUUCGGCUCAGAUAUCAUUCCUCCCUUGUGGAGAGAGGCAGCUUCAAAGGGGGUCAGAAACAGAAACUGAGCACAGUGAAUGAGAGGCUGGAGGGGCAAAUGUCCUCCUGCCACCUUUGAUGAGGCAGAGGCAUCCAUGCGGGGCAGGAUGUGCUCUGUUUGGUCAUAUAGGAGAGGGCGUGUCUAGAAGCUAGUCCUGUCCUGCUCCAUCAGUGGGGUUUCCCUGGGGAUCUCACACUCCCUCACAGUAUGUAGACGCCACUAUGCACCUGCAUGCUGAGAGAAGGCAGCAGGCCAGGAGGACCCCCUGCCUCUUCUCUAAGUGUAUCCUACCCACCCCUAUGCCAUGACCCAGGCUGCAGCUGCUCUCCAAGGACUCCUUGGUCCUGCACCCUCAAUAUUCUAAGAGAUCACAGGAUUUGCCCUUUGGGCAGGUCCAAGGACACCCAGGAGCAGCAUAACCAGCACACGCGGACCAGGCAGGCAUAGUUCCUGCCACAGAAGCAGUGACACAGGGAGCAGGAUACCUCCAGGGUAUGAUGUGGGGAAAUGGGGAGCAGGAAGAGAUGGCAGGUAACACACAUUCAGUGUUUUCUGCACAUCCCAGUGAAUCCUCCAACUAUCCCCAUUCUGCAGAAAAUUUCAAUAACUUAGCCAAGGAGCCAGGAUCAACUAGGUACUUUCACCAAAGCACCUGUAACAGAAGACAAGAGUGAACAUCUUUCCCUGCAUGUCUGCCUGAAAAAUACAUUUUUAACUUAACAUUCACAUGAAUUUUGCAGUCUAGCACUGCCUUAAGAUAUCCAUAUUCAUUUCAAUGGAAAAAUUAUGUCUUUAAUUGACUAACUUAAAAAAAUUAACCAUCUGCAAAAUCAUGCUGAUCCCACGAGUGAUGCGGACCCUGGCAUUUCUCAGGGGUACCACCUCGAGGGGCAUAAGAAUCUUGGGCCAAGUCAGGGCCACACCAUCCUGCUGCCCCAGGCACCAUGAGCUGCUCCUUCUUUUCCCAACUUGGAGGUUCCAGGUGUUCAUUAGGAGAUGCAGCAGGUUAUAAACCAUAACUCAGGCAAGAGGAAUAGUGGGGGGCAGCAUGCAGGAGACAACGCAGCACAAAGAAGCCCCAGGAAAGGUGAUCAACAGAUCCAGACCAACAGAGCCAAAGGAGCACAAGCACUUCGGGAUUCCAAUCACUUUGCCCUCCUCAGGGAUUAUUAACCAAAAAGGUUACUGCAGGGCCUCACAGAAGUACGUCUACCUGAGUAAAAAUUCUGCAUCACAGCAACUGCAGUGGUGUCACACCAGACAUGUUUUUGCUCAAAAGAAUUCAAUUAACACCCACAAGGAAGGGAGGUGGACACGGACACACACACUUCAAUCAGGAACUCAAUGAUCACAUGCCCACGGUGAGAGAGAAAAAGGAAACACGACCCCACAGCUUCCUCUGCAUCUCAUUCCAGAAAGCUUUUCACAGUGUGAACAUCUCACAGAGCUGACUGGGAUUCUAGUGUUUAAAGAAACGUAUUUUUCAUACAAGUUGGCCCCUAAAUGCAAGCCAACUUCUUAUCUGGUGCUCAAGGAAACAGCAAUGCGGCUCCAACUCUGCAGGCCAAAGUGGCUGUGUUGGCCUCCACAAGGGAUAGUGUACAGGCCUCCAAGGUGGCACCUUCCAAAGAGAUUUUCAAGAGUAAUUUUGACUCUACAAGACUUCUGCCUCACACAUAUAGGGGCUUAGCCACCCAGAGAGCUAUGACCUCUCUAACACUGUCUCGUGUAUCGCCCAAACAAGGUUAGACUGAAGGAAGGAGAAGUUCCCAAAGGAGAGCAUCAUACGUCUUGUUACACAAGCGGUCUAUAAAUUUGUAUUCAACUUCACAACCUUGAUUAACAGCAGCAUCUGGCAGUUCUCUCCCAAGCAGCUGUGAUGUAGAGGAAAGAACACAAAAUUUAAAGUCAAACCAACCGGGGUUCAAGGAUUUGUUCUGCCCCUUGCUGGCUCCAACUGUGCCCUGGGUGCCUGUCUUAGUAAAACCAAGAAGACAUCACCUACCUCUUCUGGAGGCUGUGAGGAUCAAGAGAGUAACUCAUGUGAAGCAGAAAAACAUUUCCAAUCUCACAAGCAUCCACGUCCAGGAAGCACUACUUUAUGCCAUGAAAUCUAAGACGGCCAGAAGGCAGAGUCUGGCUUUGUCAGCAAGAACACUGGUUCAACACACACACACCCCCACACCCCAAAAACAAAAACACACAGAAAAUCACUCCUUUGGGGGAAAAGGGGAAAAAGGACUCAGUGACCAUCAAAAAUAAAAAGGCGGAACUGGCUGAUCUGCAAAAGCUCCCAGACAAAAUCACCAGCAAUAUAAGAGGACCCUGAAGAUGAAAAGGUUUGACUAUGUUCUCAUCACUGUUUGCCAAGGAAAAUUCCCUAAGAAUAUGAAUGCAUUACCUUCACCACCCUCAGCCAUCUUUCACUCAUUCAGAAGGUCGUUGGUAAUGGGACAGCCUAUGUUAUAAUAUGUCUCUUUUCACUGGAGAUAACCUCAAGAAGUCCCAGAGUGUGAUGUGAUAGACAUGGAAAGAAAUUACAUAUGAUCAGCCAAAGGUGAGGACUAGAAAGCACAAUGGGUCAGAGAGGCAACCUGGAGUCACAGAAAGCACCCAGUGUGAAGCGGGGGAAAGCUGGGCUCUGGGCUCUUCCUCCUCUUGGGUGAGGCUACUUUAUCACCAGAAUCUCACUUCUGCCAUCUGGAAAAUGUUCUACUGCACUCCAUGGCUAAGAUCUCGUCCUAUACCAAAAUCCUAACAUUAAAAUGCUUCAAUGACUCAAA